rnacentral:rRNA from 1 species
AGUGAACGCUGGCGGUAGGCCUAACACAUGCAAGUCGAACGGCAGCACAGUAAGAGCUUGCUCUUACGGGUGGCGAGUGGCGGACGGGCGAGGAAUACAUCGGAAUCUACUUUUUCGUGGGGGAUAACGUAGGGAAACUUACGCUAAUACCGCAUACGACCUACGGGUGAAAGCAGGGGAUCUUCGGACCUUGCGCGAUUGAAUGAGCCGAUGUCGGAUUAGCUAGUUGGCGGGGUAAAGGCCCACCAAGGCGACGAUCCGUAGCUGGUCUGAGAGGAUGAUCAGCCACACUGGAACUGAGACACGGUCCAGACUCCUACGGGAGGCAGCAGUGGGGAAUAUUGGACAAAGGGCGCAAGCCUGAUCCAGCCAUACCGCGUGGGUGAAGAAGGCCUUCGGGUUGUAAAGCCCUUUUGUUGGGAAAGAAAAGCAGCAGGUUAAUACCCCGCUGUUCUGACGGUACCCAAAGAAUAAGCACCGGCUAACUUCGUG